UUUCCGUAGGUGAACCUGCGGAAGGAUCAUUAAAGAACGCCCCGUUUUUUGAAAUUUGUAAUUCUAAACCGUGUAUACAUACCUUUGUUGCUUUGGCAGGCCGCCCCUCAGCGCGUCGGCUCCGGCUGACUGCGCCUGCCAGAGUACCCAAACUCUUUUGUUUAGUGAUAUCUGUGUACCAUAGAGUAGUUAAAUCUUUCAACAACGGAUAUCUCGGUUCUGGCAUCGAUCAAAAACGCACCAGACCGGAAGAGUACACGCUUGAACUCGAGUCAUCAU
rnacentral:misc_RNA from 1 species